rnacentral:rRNA from 1 species
ACUCCUACGGGAGGCAGCAGUAGGAAUUUUCCGCAAUGGACGAAAGUCUGACGGAGCAAUGCCGCGUGAGUGAUGAAGGUUUUCGAAUCGUAAAGCUCUGUUGUAAGGGAAAGAAUAGCAAGAUAGGAAAUGAUUCUUGUCUGACGGUACCUUACCAGAAAGCCACGGCUAACUACGUGCCAGCAGCCGCGGUAAUACGUAGGUGGCAAGCGUUAUCCGGAAUUAUUGGGCGUAAAGCGCAUGUAGGCGGCUUUUAAGUCUGAUGUGAAAGCCA